GAUGAAGAACGUAGCGAAAUGCGAUAAGUAGUGUGAAUUGCAGAAUUCAGUGAAUCAUCGAAUCUUUGAACGCACAUUGCGCCCCUUGGUAUUCCAUGGGGCAUGCCUGUUCGAGCGUCAUUUGUACCUUCAAGCUUUGCUUGGUGUUGGGUGUUUGUCUCGCCUUUGCGUGUAGACUCGCCUUAAAAUAAUUGGCAGCCGGCGUAUUGAUUUCGGAGCGCAGUACAUCUCGCGCUUUGCACUCAUAACGACAGCGUCCAAAAGUACAUUUUACACUCUUGACCUCGGAUCAGGUAGGGAUACCCGCUGAACUUAAGCAUAUCAAUAAGCGGAGG
rnacentral:misc_RNA from 1 species